GAGAGACGACGGGACAGGCCGGGUCUGGCCAGAAGCAGCCGUCAAAGCCCAGACCCAGCAGCUGCGGGUCGCACCGUGAGCGGUGCUGGGGCCGAGGGCUUCGGAGCGGCGGUAGGAGCAUCCGUCAGAGCUGACCUGAGCAGCCGUCCGCGCCAGUAACUGAGCCUUUCCAUCUCAGUGCCACCGCAUCUUACCGACCCCACGAUACCACCGUGUAGAACCAGAACCAUGUGCUGGGUCACAGCAGACUGGAGACCCCUGGGGUCGGAGACUGUCUUUUCCUUCAACACAGCCCCUCCUUCUGGCUUCCAUCGUUUGAAAAUGCAGUAAAUCCUUUUGACAGGUG